rnacentral:rRNA from 1 species
UACGGGGGGAGCAAGCGUUGUUCGGAUUUACUGGGCGUAAAGGGCGCGUAGGCGGCCACCGCAAGUCAAUUGUGAAAUCUCCGGGCUUAACUCGGAAAGGUCAACUGAUACUGCGGGGCUAGAGUGCGGAAGGGGCAACUGGAAUUCUUGGUGUAGCGGUGAAAUGCGUAGAUAUCAAGAGGAACACCUGCGGCGAAGGCGGGUUGCUGGGCCGACACUGACGCUGAGGAGCGAAAGCGUGGGGAGCGAACAGG